rnacentral:tRNA from 10 species
GCUCCCUUCGUCUAUCGGUUAGGACGUCAGAUUUUCAAUCUGAAAAGACGGGUUCGACUCCCGUAGGGAGCGCCA